rnacentral:rRNA from 1 species
AGUGAACGCUGGCGGUAGGCCUAACACAUGCAAGUCGAACGGCAGCACAGUAAGAGCUUGCUCUUACGGGUGGCGAGUGGCGGACGGGUGAGGAAUACAUCGGAAUCUACUUUUUCGUGGGGGAUAACGUAGGGAAACUUACUCUAAUACCGCAUACGACCUACGGGUGAAAGCAUGGGAUCGUCUGACCUUGCGCGGUUGAAUGAGCCGAUGUCGGAUUAGCUAGUUGGCGGGGUAAAGGCCCACCAAGGCGACGAUCCGUAGCUGGUCUGAGAGGAUGAUCGGCCACACUGGAACUGAGACACGGUCAAGACUCCUACGGGAGGCCGCAGUGGGGAAUAUUGGACAAUGGGCGCAAGCCUGAUCCAGCCAUACCGCGUGGGUGAAGAAGGCCUUCGGGUUGUAAAGCCCUUUUGUUGGGAAAGAAAAGCAGCAGGUUAAUACCACGCUGUUCUGACGGUACCCAAAGAAUAAGCACCGGCUAACUUCGUG